AUUUCCAGGGACUCGGACAAGGGACGACGCGAAAGGACCCAGCCGCCCAGCCAACAGAUGAAGAGGACCCAUUGCCCAGCUAUGUCUAGCGGCCAACAUUGGCCAAAGCGGAGCGUCGAUCCCACUGAGACGUACAGCAGCAUUCUGGGGAGCAGGGAUCGACUGCGACCGCACAUCUAAGAGAGGAGAUGCCGUGUGAUGCAGCCCUCUAUCCCCAGCGCUGUGAAGAGGAGACUGCCAACCCAAGGAUGGUACUGGGUUGGACUGGUCUGCUUGUGUGGAAGAAGAGCAGACCGUCACCUGCGGGC